rnacentral:rRNA from 1 species
AGUCGAGCGGACCUUUGGAGCUUGCUCCAUUGGUUUAGCGGCGGACGGGUGAGUAACACGUGGGCAACCUGCCCUGCAGAUCGGGAUAACUCCGGGAAACCGGUGCUAAUACCGAAUAGUUUUUUGCCCCUCCUGGGGCGAAACGGAAAGACGGUUUCGGCUGUCACUGCAGGAUGGGCCCGCGGCGCAUUAGCUAGUUGGUGGGGUAAUGGCCCACCAAGGCGACGAUGCGUAGCCGACCUGAGAGGGUGAUCGGCCACACUGGGACUGAGACACGGCCCAGACUCCUACGGGAGGCAGCAGUAGGGAAUCUUCCGCAAUGGACGCAAGUCUGACGGAGCAACGCCGCGUGAGUGACGAAGGUUUUCGGAUCGUAAAACUCUGUUGUGAGGGAAGAACAAGUACCAACUAACUACUGGUACCUUGACGGUACCUCACCAGAAAGCCACGGCUAACUACGUGCCAGCAGCCGCGGUAAUACGUAGGUGGCAAGCGUUGUCCGGAAUUAUUGGGCGUAAAGCGCGCGCAGGCGGUCCCUUAAGUCUGAUGUGAAAGCCCACGGCUCAACCGUGGAGGGUCAUUGGAAACUGGGGGACUUGAGUGCAGAAGAGGAAAGUGGAAUUCCACGUGUAGCGGUGAAAUGCGUAGAGAUGUGGAGGAACACCAGUGGCGAAGGCGACUUUCUGGUCUGUAACUGACGCUGAGGCGCGAAAGCGUGGGGAGCAAACAGUUUCUCUAAGUUCUA